GAAAAUUCCGCCAAGUAAACAACAAAGGGGGAAAGGGAUUUGGGAUGUUGUCAGUUGUAUGUAUACAUUAUGUGCGACGGUGACUGCAAGAAACAAGGAAUGUGGAGCUAAUGCGUGCUGCUAAGGAUGGAAAGGUCUUGUGUUUAUUGGUUGUGCCUGAGUCACCAGCCACAGGUGUACCUUAUUUCCAUUUUAGGGAGUCUAUAUACAUUUGAGGUGAGCGGCAGAUUUAAUUUUGAAGAUGGGUGACUUUCAGAUGUUGUGAUGAAGAUUGUUGAAAGGGAUUAUCCGCAUAGAACCAAUCCAUAUGAAUGUGCAAGUCAGGACUUGUACAACACCUGAGUACCUAGAUGACUGUUGAACUAAUUGGUGAACAAGAAAAGAUGUCAGAGAGGGGAAUCCAAUACAGAUGUCAUGAUCAAGAAUAUAUACUCUUAUCAAUGAUAUGAUCAAGAAUAUGUAAACUUUUAACGAUUUAAAAUAUCUUAUUUGUAAAUCACUCUUCAUUACUUAAUUGUUCACACAUUAUCCUCUACACUUAUGCUAUAAAUCUUAUCUGUUUAUUAAUCACCCCCUCUUAUCUAACCCCCCUGCUGAUCGUAAUGACCUGUGUAUUGACUCCUGAUCUUAAGGAUCUUGUAAUGUGCUCCUAAUCGUCAGGAACGGAUCUUGAGUAUAUAUAUAUAGUGCGACAGAAUUUUAGAAUAAGAUAGGAGGAUGGAAAUAUAG